rnacentral:lncRNA from 1 species
AUUGGUGGCUUUCUUUUACUUCUCCUUCAUUGGAACAUGCAAAAUUUGGAGUAUUUUGAGCACUUCAUUUGAAAUUUAUCUAAAAUGUAUAUUUAUGGAAAAAAAACAUUAUAAUAAAAUAGUUUAAUACUCCAUAUUGGGAUACUACACCCUUUUUAUUAUUAGGAUCUGGUCAUCACACUAUAAUAAAUGGGAUACGUCGCAAAUGGGAAACAAAAUCUAUCAUUGAAUGUAUGUUUGCGAAAGUACAUGUCUGAUAACAGGGCGGACAGCUUCGUUUUUCUAACAUUGGGCAAACUAUCCAGUUUAUAUACAUUGAUGGAAGCAACUUUGAUAAUCAAAUUUUAUAAAUAACAAUAAUAAUUAUUCUUAGAAUCUACAGCUUAUAUUAUACUUAGAAUUUUAAAUUGUUAACAAUAUUUUAAUAUAGCAUGCAUAUAUAGGUCAACCCCAUUUUAUGAGAUCCCAAUAUAAGUGAUCUCAAUUAUAGGAACAAAUAUAAUUUUUAUUAAAUUCUUAAGAUCUUUACCUCAAUUUCAUAAAUUUAUAACAAGCAGAUAUUUUAAAAGUUGAAUAAAACACCCCUUGUUCAUGUAGAGACAUUUAAAAAGGUACCAAUAUAAUCUCUCCAAUUUUAUGUCAGGAACUUUAUAUGAAAGUUUUCAAGAGGAUGGGAAUCCAGAUUUAAUCUUGAUGGAUGUCCUUCAGAUUGAAAACCAAUGUGUUUUCGUUCAGCUAACUCCAUGAUGGAACCAAUUAUAAAGUAAUGGAUGGAGUUCAAAAUUUGGAUUCAGAUACCUGCAACAGAAAUCUGGAGUUGUAAACUUUGAAAUUGAACUUUGUUACUUGAAGACAACAUUAAUUUACCAUUUGUUGUAUUUGUACUACAAAUAGUAAAUUAAUUCUUUACCAAGUGGCAAUAUGUUAAAUAGCUGUCAAUUUUUUUAAUUUAGUUACUAAAAUGGCAUUUUUCUUUGUAUAUAUAUGCUUUUCUUUCUUUGUUUCUUGAUGAAAUGUUUAAUACCAUAUUAUGUCAUUGGUUUUUGAUAAAUGUUAAUAGUGAAUUAUUUCUUCUUUGAAUAUUAUGAAACUGUUAAUAAAUAUCAACUUUUAUAUAUGCAUUUUUUUUUCUUUCCAUUCAAAUUAAUAAACAGCAAGACUAUUCCUAAUGAAGAUUUGCUUGUGGUUAUCACAUCAUUUUUUUUUUUUAACUUUAAUGGCAAGUCUGAAUUGCACCAUGGAAUGUGCUUACAAAAACAUUGGCAGGCAGCUUGGAAUUAAAACAAUCUCAUAAACACGAUUAUUCCACUGAUUGCAGAAAAUAGUAUUAAAUAUAUAUCCUGCAAUUGGUGACAGCAGUUUAUCUCAAUUAUCAUCUAAUUAUUUAUAAUGAUUGGGUUGCCUUCAACGUUCCAGUAGAAGACCUGGAUUGAAUUUGAUUUAGAAUACUCUAAUUUCUCAAGUGGACAAAGUUCAGCCUUUAAUCCUGCUAAUCCCUCCACAUUUGUGGGGUCUACAUUAUAUAUAGUACAGUAAUUAGCAAAUGAUCAAUUAAUAACUUUAAAAAAAACAGAUAUUCAAAGAUAGGGAUUGAGUGGCAGGGGUCAGGUUUCUUUAAAAAUAACAUGUAGAUAUGGAAUUUGGAAUUGAACUUUGGUAACACCAAAUGAUGUAGCAUCUAUGCAGAUGGAAGCCUAUAUAAUAAUUUUAGGAUGGCAGUUGGCCUAUUUCUUAUGUACUUUCCCAAUGAAAAUUGCUAAAUUUUUUAGCAGUAUUUGUUAUAAAACUAUUGAAGUAAUUUUGUCGUCAUUAAUGUAACUGGAUAGUAUUUCAGUGAAAAAAAGUUGGCUUUUUUUCUGCUCAGGAACAUACUAUAUUUAAUGAUUGUUUAUUGCACCUUAUUUUGUACCAUUAACUAUAAAAUCUUGUUGAUAUCAUGUAAAAUUAUUCAUGUGUAAUUAUUUAAUUUUCAUGAUUAAAAUCUUGUUUAUUUUCUAUUGUCAUUUAUUGCAUCCUUUAUUUUAAAUAUGAUGAAUACCUAUAAGCCAGGUAGUUACUCAUAAAUUGGACUAAAUUACUAUUAUCUCCUAAACUGGAGUUGACCUAUAUAUAUAUCAAAUUAACAUGUACUAAAUUUUCUUUUUUUUUAUAUUAUGAAUUUUGUUAUUAUCUACAUUUCCA